rnacentral:rRNA from 1 species
UCGAGAAUUUUUCACAAUGGGGGAAACCCUGAUGGAGUGACGCCGCGUGGAGGAUGAAGGCCUUCGGGUCGUAAACUCCUGUCACUACAGAACAAGAAUUAUGAGGUAAACAAUCUCAUGAUUUUGAUGGUAUGUGGAGAGGAAGAGACGGCUAACUCUGUGCCAGCAGCCGCGGUGAUACAGAGGUCUCAAGCGUUGUUCGGAUUCACUGGGCGUAAAGGGUGCGUAGGGGGUUUGAUAAGUCAGAUGUGAAAGCUUGUCGCUUAACGAUAAGAUUGCAUUCGAUACUAUCAGGCUAGAGGACUGGAUGGGAGAGCGGAAUUCUUGGUGUAGCGGUGAAAUGCGUAGAUAUCAAGAGGAACGCCGAUGGCGAAAGCAGCUCUCUGGAAAGUUCCUGACC